GUGUAAGCGCAGCGAUGCGUUGAGCUAACCGGCACUAAUGAACCGUGAGGCUUAACCUUACAACGCCGAAGC
rnacentral:rRNA from 1 species